rnacentral:lncRNA from 1 species
AUUGUUCCAUUUGGUAACAUAAUCUGGGCUUUUCCUGAGCCUUCAAUUACAUCUGAUGGUCCUGAUAUUAUUGUUACCUUUACUUUUGCAAGUACCAAAUUCGAGAAAUACUUUCGGUCUCGAAGUAUUGAAUGCGUGGUUGCGCUAUCUGCAAGACAAAAGUCUCCGCCAUUAAUCUUGUUUUGAGAACAACCAUAAUUUUUAUCCAUGAUCUCUGAGUAAAGAAAAAGCAGUUUAUUCAUACUGGAAUACUACUUUUAUUGAAUUGAAAAUGCGAGCAUUAAACCACAGGUACAAAUAACAUGAGUACAUUAAACAUAAAUAAUUCAAUCGGACCCAUAAACUUCAUUCCCUCUUUCAUUAAUAAAGUCUGUAGCAUCCAGGUGGGUUGUGUUUAACUGUCCUGAUAAAUUGGUCACUGGAUCAGGGGUUUCCAUUGGUUUAGCCUGGUCAAGGAAAUUGAUCUCGACACCCUUUUCCUUGAAGGAGGCUUGAUAUAGUUCCACUAGAUGCUUUGGGGUGCGACAAGUACGCGCCCAAUGUCCGUUGCCACCACACCUAUGGCAACCUCCUUCAUGACUUUUAGGAGUGUUCACAUGAGCUUUUCCUUUCUGGCGAUUGAUAUUUUUAAAGCUCGGGCCUGGAUUAUACCUUGGAACCUGGUUGUGAAACUGGACACCAUGGUUCUUGCUUUUCCCUUUC